rnacentral:rRNA from 1 species
UACGGGGGGGGCAAGCGUUGUUCGGAAUUACUGGGCGUAAAGGGCUCGUAGGCGGCCAACUAAGUCAGACGUGAAACCCCUCGGCUUAACCGGGGAACUGCGUCUGAUACUGGAUGGCUUGAAUCCGGGAGAGGGAUGCGGAAUUCCAGGUGUAGCGGUGAAAUGCGUAGAUAUCUGGAGGAACACCGGUGGCGAAGGCGGCAUCCUGGACCAACACUGACGCUGAGGAGCGAAAGCCAGGGGAGCAAACGGG